rnacentral:rRNA from 1 species
GACGAACGCUGGCGGCGUGCUUAACACAUGCAAGUCGAACGGAAAGGCCCUGCUUUUGUGGGGUGCUCGAGUGGCGAACGGGUGAGUAACACGUGAGUAACCUGCCCUUGACUUUGGGAUAACUUCAUGAAACUUGGUCUAAUACCGGAUAGGAUCUCCUGCUGCAUGGUGGGGGUUGGAAAGUUUCGGCGGUUGGGGAUGGACUCGCGGCUUAUCAGCUUGUUGGUGGGGUAGUGGCUUACCAAGGCUUUGACGGGUAGCCGGCCUGAGAGGGUGACCGGACACAUUAGGACUGAGAUACGGCCCAGACUCCUACGGGAGGCAGCAGUGGGGAAUAUUGCACAAUGGGCGGAAGCCUGAUGCAGCAACGCCGCGUGCGGGAUGACGGCCUUCGGGUUGUAAACCGAUUUCGCCUGUGACGAAGCGUGAGUGACGGUAAUGGGUAAAGAAGCACCGGCUAACUACGUG